rnacentral:rRNA from 1 species
GAUGAACGCUGGCGGCGUGCCUAAUACAUGCAAGUCGAGCGAACAGACGAGGAGCUUGCUCCUCUGACGUUAGCGGCGGACGGGUGAGUAACACGUGGAUAACCUACCUAUAAGACUGGGAAACUUCGGGAAACCGGAGCUAAUACCGGAUAAUAUAUUGAACCGCAUGGUUCAAUAGUGAAAGACGGUUUUGCUGUCACUUAUAGAUGGAUCCGCGCCGCAUUAGCUAGUUGGUAAGGUAACGGCUUACCAAGGCGACGAUGCGUAGCCGACCUGAGGGGGUGAUCGGCCACACUGGAACUGAGACACGGUCCAGACUCCUACGGGAGGCAGCAGUAGGGAAUCUUCCGCAAUGGGCGAAAGCCUGACGGAGCAACGCCGCGUGAGUGAUGAAGGUCUUCGGAUCGUAAAACUCUGUUAUUAGGGAAGAACAAAUGUGUAAGUAACUAUGCACGUCUUGACGGUACCUAAUCAGAAAGCCACGGCUAACUACGUG